CAUUUGUGCUUCCUUGCCCACACUUGAACACGAGAAUGCCAUGGAAGAAACGUAUUUUAUAAUAAGAAGUCUUUGGAAUUUCAAAUAUACACUCAAAGGAAACUAGUCACUAUGGCAUGCUAGAAAGAGCGACAUUAAGCAACCGAAAUAAGGAAGUUCACUUGGCAUGUACACAGCUCACCUGUCCAUGGAGUCCCCAUCCAAAUGUAAAUAGUGCUCCUGCAU
rnacentral:misc_RNA from 1 species